GGAGGGGGCUAGCGUUGUUCGGAAUUACUGGGCGUAAAGGGCGCGUAGGCGGUAUGCCAUGUCAGGGGUGAAAGGCCUGGGCUCAACCCAGGAACUGCCUUUGAAACUGGCAAACUAGAGUCCGAUAGAGGAUGGCGGAAUUCCCAGUGUAGAGGUGAAAUUCGUAGAUAUUGGGAAGAACACCAGUGGCGAAGGCGGCCAUCUGGAUCGGCACUGACGCUGAGGCGCGAAAGCGUGGGGAGCAAACAGGGAUUAGAUACCCUGGUAGUCCACGCCGUAAACGAUGUGUGCUAGACGUUGGGGGGCCUUAGGCCCCUGGGUGUCGCAGCUAACGCGUUAAACACACCGCCUGGGGAGUACGGCCGCAAGGUUA
rnacentral:rRNA from 1 species